AAUGGGCGAAAGCCUGAACCAGCCAUGCCGCGUGUGUGAUGAAUGCCUUUGGGUUGUAAAGCACUUUUAUCUGGGAAGAAGGCCGCCAUUUAUGGUGAAGCGACGGUACCAGAAGAAUAAGCACCGGCUAACUCCGUGCCAGCAGCCGCGGUAAUACGGAGGGUGCAAGCGUUAUCCGGAAUCACUGGGUUUAAAGGGUACGUAGGCUGUAAUAUAAGUCAGACGUCAAAGGCUGUGGCUAAACCAUAGUACGCGUUUGAAACUAUAUCACUUGAAUAUGUUCGAGGUGCACGGAAUGCGUCAUGUAGCGGUGAAAUGCAUAGAUAUGACGUAGAACACCAAUUGCGAAGGCAGUGCACUAGGGCAUUAUUGACGCUGAGGUACGAAAGCGUGGGUAGCGAACAGGAUU
rnacentral:rRNA from 1 species